GGCGCAGGCCGGGGAGUGAUGUUGGGCGUGAUACACCAAGCGUGAACAAGUGCAGCAGCGGAGGGGCGAAUGUGGUCGCCUCUCGGUUGGCACCGAUGUCCGAUCGUGUGGCCCAACAAAUGCGCUCGAGCCGUCGUCCACUCUCGUGCUGCUCUGCUCCGUCCUCGUCUGUCUAUUGUUGACCAGGCCGGCUGACGCAAACAUAGGCUCCUGUGUAAGAAACUGCGGCCAGUGCAAGAGCAUGUACGGCCGGUUCUUCCAGGGCACCGCCUGUGCGGACGCCUGUCUGGCCGGGAACGAGAGCCCCGACUGCGUCAAUCCGUCCAUGGUCUCACGGUUCAUGAAGCGCCGCUGGUCGCCGGCCGCCGCGUCGGAGGUGCCCCUCAGCGGCAAAUACGAGUACUACAAUGUCGACGGCCAGCCGGUAGAGGUGCCACUGCCGAGUGGGCCCGCUCUAUUCAAAAUGCUUUCAGCCGGGGGAACGGAAGCAAGAAAGUGAUUUAACCGCCAUAUUAGUCCAUAAGCCAUAAACAGCCCGCCAGAAACGUUCUCUUAGUCUCCACGAGGUACUAGUUCUCAGCCAAUGAAACUAUCGUGAGAUGUAUUCGCAAUUUGAAAUAAAAAUUAAAACCGCACCGUAAGUCGCCCGCAUUUGUCAUGCUCAAAC